ensembl:lncRNA
CUAGCUCUUACCUCCUUUCCCAGGCAGGCCCUAGAAACUAGAGUUUUCCCAUGAAACCCAAAAGGACAAGGUUCAGCAAGCUUCAGGAUGGCUGAACUUGUGGGGUCCCAGGAGGGUGUGGUAGCCCAUGCCAUGCGUCUGUGCAUCUCUCCUCUAUGCUGAGCGAUCCUGAUUUGCAAUGUUUUGAAUCUUUCUUUGAGACUCUGGGUCUUUCAUCCACCACACGGAGACUGCUGGUCUUAGCCUUGGUAGGCAGUGGACUUAAGGAUGCUGCUCCAGGACCUGCCGUGUGCUCACGGGGACAACACUGUGGCAGGCAGUGGCCACCUCCAGGACAAUGGACACUGUGAGCUUCACUGUGGGAGAUGCAGAAGAUGCCACCAGCACCAGUGUCCCCGUCCUUGAAGGGUCCGACCAUGGGCAGGAAGGACACCUGGCCACUCUCCUCAGCACUCAUGGAGUUCAGCCUUCUCUCACCUUUGCUGGCACCCAGUUCCCGCCUGUCUCAU